rnacentral:lncRNA from 1 species
UUGUGACCCGUUCCUCCCAAAUUCUCAAUUGAUUACUGUUCGAUUCAAUCACAAAAUCACUUCAACCCUUCGUGACUUCGUCCCUUCGCACUAUCCAUCACUGCCUGUCUUUCCCCUUCCCAUCUUCGACGGCACGUCCUCCUGGAGCCGGUCAGACUUGCUCCCAUCUCCGACCGACUCUACGUUCUCCUCCGGCUCCGAGUUUUGAUCUCCGUUGGAUCGUUGUAGUCUUGCAGACUAGCAGGCAACGCCUGCGCAUGACAGCAGCUUCGCCAAUCGCUCAUUAAAUUGUAACAGAAGAAGGUGAUUUUGAUUUUUGAAUCGGUUGGGUAGCCAGCAGAAUUAAAAGGUUAAAGCCCCAAUUUCCACCAGUGACUUUGAAUUUUUUUUCCUAUUUUUGUUAUUUUGAUUUGUGUAAAUUGUAAUAAUAUUUUUUUUGUUCUUAGCAUGCGAAAUUAGCGCUUUAUUCUUUAAUUGCUCAAAGCAGCACUUCGUACACGUUGCUCUUCAAUUGAUUUUGGCACAGACUUCCAGUGGACCAGUUCAUUGUUGCAUCUGACUCUCUACAAAUAUGCGAUUGUAAGUUGCUUACACUGUCACUUGGAAGUUGAAACUUGGAAAAUAGUAUAUAUUGCAUUGUAAAGUUGUGAAUUGCACUGGAUUGAUAGUAUAUAUUGCACUGUGAUUGUGAAUUCAUUAUUUGAAAGUGUGAAUUGGAAUGUAAAUUGAUUAUGUGAAGUAGUGAAUUGCACUGGAUCAUUAAAUCUAUGACCAAAACCUCAACGUCCGGCGUUGAAAAUUUUUUGCCCGUGCUGAACUAAAAUCCUGGCUAUGCCCCUGAUUUGUUUGUUAUAUUGCCUUCUUCAAAAAUAAUAAAAUAACACUAUUUUAGAAUAUUAAUUAUUAUAGAUUGAUUCAAAUAAUUAUGCAAUAUUCUUCUGAUAUAUUAUAAAGUAUGUUUGUUCUUGAGCAAUAGGUCAACAUUCUUUGGGAAUAUUGAGUAAUGCCAUGUUCUUCAUUAGCGGAAAUUGAAUCGAAAAAGUAGAUAAAUUAUUGUGAAAAUUUCCUUUUCAUAUUAUUGUGAAUCGAAAAAGUAGAUCUACAUAUAUAAAAUAAAUUCACGCGGGCAAGAUGCUGAAUACAGACCUUCAAGUUCACGCAAAAAGAGGAUAUACAUAUGAGUAAAGCUAGUUGUAUAUGGUCACAUGGCACCCCCUAUAGGUGGGGAACCAACAUCUCCCUAUACAUAUAGCUGUGUUGAAUAUAGAUGUGCACACAAUCUCUAACGCGCCUGUAAAAAUAUUAAUUAUGCAUGUAUGCGACAAUGAAAAAAUAUAAUGCGUAUGAUUUGAGAUUGGAUAUAGUUACCUUCAAGCUAAUUUAUUAUAAUUUUUAGAGAAUCAUGCUGAUAACAUGUUAUGAACUAAAGAAAAAAUAAGAUAAAGAAGUUAAUAAAUUUGUGUGUUUUUCAUUCAAAAUCAAAGUCCCAUAUCUAUGGGGAAGAAUUAGGGCUGCAAGGAAUAUAGUAGUCGUAAUACCUAGGGUUGUAAGGAUAUAAUAGUCAUUUACAAAUACUACUUUAUUUUAAACAUUUUUAAAUUUAUUUCAUCUAUUGCAUAACCUCAUUCCUUCAAGAUUAACUGUGGCCUUCCAAAUGUUUUGGACGAAUUCCUUGCUCUGUACAAAUGUCUAAAAGUUUCUAGUCGCACUUAAAGCUGAGUAUUCUACUGUUGAGUUGUAGAUUUUGGAUUAAAAUGUCAUUUUUUCAACUUGUUCCUUUCGAAUUUCAUAUCCACAUUCAUUUUCAUUCUUCAAUUUUACCAAUGUUCUGUUUGUUUUAUCGAACUUUUAAUACAAUCCGGUGGUGUUGAUGAAAAUUAUGAAAUGACUGCCACAUUGACCAAUGAUCAGCUUAGUAUCUUUCUUUUCUUUUCUUUUCUUUUUUUUUUUUUUUUUUUUUUUUUUUUUUUUUUAUUUGCCCUUCAAUUUAGGAUUAUUUUUUUCCUGUUGUAUGAGUAUUUGUAGCUAAAAGAAUUAUUGUUGACUUGCGUUUACAGAUUGCAUUUUUUUAUUUGGGAAGAAUUUGGAGAAAGCAGCGAGGAUAGUUGAUCAAAGGGGGGUGUCGAGAGGAUUUCAGGCGAGCCAAGUGGUCGUUCCAUAUUCCAGGCAGUUUUUGCUUUUCGUCUGUAAUUUUUUCUGAUUACAAUUAUGGUAUUUCCCCUGUUGGUAUUGAUUUAAAUUAGAUUUUAAUUUUAGUCAAAGUCAAACGAUCAAUAUUAACAACAUAUUUCAAGGGUUCAACAACUUUUCAACCACACAUUUCUAAAUUUUCUAUCAAAAUUUACUAAAAAAAUAUAAAUCUAAAUUUAAUCCCCCUUGUCAAAUUUUGAACAUCUUUAUUUGAGGUGAUUUUUCCAGCUUUAACUACUAAGUAUAUCGAAAUAAUUUGAAAUUGACUACGUGAAUUCUUUUUGGGCAAUUAGAAUUUGUGUCACAUUAUUUUGGGAAAAAAAAAUAGGUUCAAUGUCAGCAUACCGCAACUAUCAUUGAGUCAAAGAUUAUAGCACACUAAGAACAUCUCCAAAAAUCUCUUUAAAUAAUUUUAGAGAGUCGAUGCUUAAAAAUAAAUUGUCCGAAACUCUUUAUUUUAACUUUUUAAAAUAAAAAGUGGGUUUCGCUCUCCCAAUGAUUGCGUUUAAAAAGUUACAAAUUUCACAAUUUGAAUUGAUUGGCCAUUAACAUAUAGAAAAAUUAUGUUAAAUAAGGGAGAGAGGGAGAAAUCAAUAAAUGUUCAUUGGAAAAAACAAAAUCAAAAAUCAAAAUAGAGAUUAUUGUUGAAGUGUUAAAAAAAAAAAAAAAAACUUAUUCUAUAAAUAUAAAAUACUCUCUAUAUACUUUUUAUAUAUAAAAUGCUCUUUAUAUAUAAAAAGUUUCUUGGAAAUGCAUUAAGUAUAUUCUCAAUAAAUUUCUAAUUGGCUAAUGAGAAUUCCUUUGGAAUAGAAUUUGUAUCUUAUGAUUUCACCAAAUUUUAUGUUGGCCGCUAGCGUAUUGCAACCAUCCCCUUUACUCGGUCUUGAGACUGUCUAAUGAAAAAUAUAAAGAGUCCAAGUGAAGAUUAGAGUAAUUGCUAUUAAUGCUUGAUCACAGUUCCCGUCUUUCUUUAUAUGCGAAAAUGGUGAUAUCCCGGAGGAAGGAGGAAUAUUUAUGCUUUCCCUGAACACCAUUGUUCUUGUUAUUCAUUCUUCGAUGACAUUGUGGGAACAGCUUUGUGUUUUUUUCCAUAAUUUUGAGUUACUUGUUUCGACGCUUAAUAUGUAGCUUGUACGUUAGUAUGUGAAUUUUCAGUGUAAGCAUCAACUGAUGUGAAGGUUUCUGAUGAGGAUCUUGCAUUCUUACUUUCCAAACUUUGACACCUUGAAAGAACAACAGAGUUCGCCUGUAGUGAUUGAGGUAAUUAGAGAAAACUUGAUGAGUUUCAAUUAGAUAGCGUAUGUUAUAUCUUCAAGAAUUACUGAAGUUAUAAUUGGCAUUUUGUCAGUCCAAUUGCUUGAUUUUUGGAUGUUUUUCCAUGCUUUUUGUGUUACAACUACAUUAUAAUCCGCAUUGCGGAGUGAUUCAGAAAGAAGAAGUGCACUUUUCAGAAUUAUUCA